UGGCUCUCGCAUCGAUGAAGAACGCAGCGAAAUGCGAUAAGUAAUGUGAAUUGCAGAUUUUCAGUGAAUCAUCGAAUCUUUGAACGCACCUUGCGCUCCUUGGUAUUCCGAGGAGCAUGCCUGUUUGAGUGUCAUUAAAUCAUCAACCCCACCGAUUUGUUUCGUCUUGGGGCUUGGACUUGGAGUGUGCUGGCGAAGGUCGGCUCCUCUUUAAAUGCAUCAGUGGAAGAAUGCACCUUUUUUUCCCCUUUGGCGUGAUAAUCCUGUUGCGCCGUGUGUGGGUUGAAGGUGUUCCGCUUAUAAUCGUCCUCGGACAAUAUAUACUUUUGACCUCAAAUCAGGUAGGACUACCCGCUGA
rnacentral:misc_RNA from 1 species